GUCUCUCUCUCUACGACUCCUGGAGGAGCUCGAUGAUCCGAAAGGACCUCGGCACGAAGCCGCGCCACUCCACAUCCAGAGAUGGAGCGUUGUAGUGGACCCGGGCUCCUGUGGAGGAACGAGUUUUCGGAGUUGCCUGUGGAGAUGGGAGGUCACGGAGCAGGACAGAGGGAUGAUCUGUCACAGCAGGAGAACAGUGACAGGGAACCUGGUGUGAAGUUCAGUGGACACUCGGAUCACAGUCGACGCCAUCUAUGUCUCCAGGCAACCAGAGGUGAAUCAUGAUGGUCUUCAGAGGGAAACAAUCAAGCCUGACGGAAAUCUACGUUCAAAAUGCUACUGUUUUACAUGUGUCUCAUGACAGGUAUGGCAUUUACACCUGUACAUUUUUUGGUUCAU